rnacentral:tRNA from 1 species
GGAUUGUAGCUCAGUGGUAGAGCAUUUGCCUUGCAUGUGUGAGGCACUGCGUUCAAUCCUCAGCACCA